AGAACGAACGCUGGCGGUGCGCUUAACACAUGCAAGUCGUGCGGUCUUUUUUCUGAAAGCUUCGGCCGGAUGGAAAAAGAUAGCGGCAAACGGGUGAGUAACACGUGGAUAAUCUGCCUUCAGGACAGGGAUAAGCUCGCGAAAGCGGGUCUAAUACCGGAUAUGACUACGCGGGUCAGCCCGCGCAGUAAAAGGAGCAAUCCACCUGAAGAUGAGUCCGCGUCCCAUUAGCUUGUUGGUGGGGUAAAAGCCUACCAAGGCUACGAUGGGUAGCCGGCCUGAGAGGGUGUCCGGCCACACUGGGACUGAGACACGGCCCAGACUCCUACGGGAGGCAGCAGUGGGGAAUCUUGCGCAAUGGGGGAAACCCUGACGCAGCGACACCGCGUGGAGGACUAAGGCCUUCGGGUUGUAAACUCCUGUGUUACGGGAAGAAACCAUUGUUUUUUAAUAGUGGUUGACGGUACCGUAGUAGAAAUCCCCGGCUAACUCCGUGCCAGCAGCCGCGGU
rnacentral:rRNA from 1 species